rnacentral:rRNA from 1 species
AUUGAACGCUGGCGGCAGGCCUAACACAUGCCAGUCGAACGGUAACAGGAAGACGCUUGCUUCUUUGCUGACGAGUGGCGGACGGGUGAGUAAUGUCUGGGAAACUGCCUGAUGGAGGGGGAUAACUACUGGAAACGGUAGCUAAUACCGCAUAACGUCGCAAGACCAAAGAGGGGGACCUUCGGGCCUCUUGCCAUCGGAUGUGCCCAGAUGGGAUUAGCUAGUAGGUGGGGUAACGGCUCACCUAGGCGACGAUCCCUAGCUGGUCUGAGAGGAUGACCAGCCACACUGGAACUGAGACACGGUCCAGACUCCUACGGGAGGCAGCAGUGGGGAAUUUUGCACAAUGGGCGCAAGCCUGAUGCAGCCAUGCCGCGUGUAUGAAGAAGGCCUUCGGGUUGGAAAGUACUUUCAGCGGGGAGGAAGGGAGUAAAGUUAAUACCUUUGCUCAUUGACGUUACCCGCAGAAGAAGCACCGGCUAACUCCGUG